rnacentral:snRNA from 1 species
UUAAUUUUUUCACUAGUUCAAGAUUAUUUCAGGUACAGAGAAGAUUAGCAUGGCCUCUGAGCAAGGAUGACAUGCAAAUCAGUACGCAUUCCAUAUUUGA